rnacentral:tRNA from 1 species
GGGAAGUUAGCUCAAUGGUAGAGUGCUUGCCUUGAAUGCAUGAAGCCCUGGUUCGAUUCCUCA